AUUGAACGCUGGCGGCAGGCCUAACACAUGCAAGUCGAACGAGUGGCGGACGGGUGAGUAAUGUAUGGGAAACUGCCUGAUGGAGGGGGAUAACUACUGGAAACGGUAGCUAAUACCGCAUACUAUCCGAUGUCCCCAGAUGGGAUUAGCUUGUUGGUGGGGUAAAGGCUCACCAAGGCGCCGAUCCCUAGCUGGUCUGAGAGGAUGACAAGCCAAACUGGGACGGAGACACGGCCCAGACUCCUACGGGAGGCAGCAGUGGGGAAUAUUGCAAAAUGGGCGCAAGCCUGAUGCAGCCAUGCCGCGUGUAUGAAGAAGGCCUUAGGGUUGUAAAGUACUUUCAGCGGGGAGGCGUUACCCGCAGAAGAAGCACCGGCUAACUCCGUGCCAGCAGCCGCGGUAAUUC
rnacentral:rRNA from 1 species